GAUCAUGGCUCAGAUUGAACGCUGGCGGCAGGCCUAACACAUGCAAGUCGAGCGGAUGAAGAGAGCUUGCUCUCUGGUUCAGCGGCGGACGGGUGAGUAAUGCCUAGGAAUCUGCCUGAUAGUGGGGGACAACGUUUCGAAAGGAACGCUAAUACCGCAUACGUCCUACGGGAGAAAGCAGGGGACCUUCGGGCCUUGCGCUAUCAGAUGAGCCUAGGUCGGAUUAGCUAGUUGG
rnacentral:rRNA from 1 species